rnacentral:rRNA from 1 species
ACGAAGUCGGAAUUGCUAGUAAUCGUAGGUCAGCAUACUACGGUGAAUACGUUCCCGGGCCUUGUACACACCGCCCGUCAAACCAUGAGAGUUGGCAACACCCGAAGUCGGUAGUCUAACCGCAAGGGGGACGCUGCCGAAGGUAGGAUUGGCGACUGGGGUGAAGUCGUAACAAGGUAAC